UCGAGUGGUGAAGCCUCCUUGGCAAAGCCUUUCAGAAGCUAAGCAAGACUGGGCCUGGUUACUGCUUGGAUGGGAGAACACUGGGAAUAUCAGGUGCCACAGGGG
rnacentral:rRNA from 1 species